GGCUCGUAACUGCUGAACGUCGCUCUGGACAGAAAGUUUUGGGGUAAUGAACCAGGUUCCAGUUCAUCCUGCAUGUUUGAUACACUAUCCGGGCCUGGAGCCUGACUGUUUGAAUCUGUACACCCUGCAGAACAUCCACAACAUUUACAGGUGUCCAUCCCGUCCUGUUUUGUACUACCGAGUACGCUAGGAGGUUCCAGAUCCGGCUGGUCACUUUGUUGGCCUCGUGCUGCCCCUUAGCUGAAGUCAGAGACAUGUAUGGCAACCACUUCCUCCUCUUGGGGUGUCUCAUACUGAGAUGCCAGGUCCUUUGGGAUGGGGAUUUUGGGGAAGACAAGCCUCAUGAGGUCAUCUACAGUCUGUAAAAUAUUGAAUUUAAAUAUUGAUUUCCUUGUGUUUUUAAAUUAAGUGCUUCCCUGAAUCCACCUUUCUUGUAAAUAUUUAUUAAAAAAUAA